rnacentral:rRNA from 1 species
CCUACGUGCGGCAGCAGUGGGGAAUAUUGGACAAUGGGCGAAAGCCUGAUCCAGCCAUGCCGCGUGUGUGAAGAAGGCCUUCGGGUUGUAAAGCACUUUCAGUGGGGAAGAAAGCCUUGGGGCUAAUACCCUCGAGGAAGGACAUCACCCACAGAAGAAGCACCGGCUAACUCCGUGCCAGCAGCCGCGGUAAUACGGAGGGUGCGAGCGUUAAUCGGAAUUACUGGGCGUAAAGCGCGCGUAGGCGGUCUGAUAAGCCGGUUGUGAAAGCCCCGGGCUCAACCUGGGAACGGCAUCCGGAACUGUCAGGCUAGAGUGCAGGAGAGGAAGGUAGAAUUCCCGGUGUAGCGGUGAAAUGCGUAGAGAUCGGGAGGAAUACCAGUGGCGUAGGCGGCCUUCUGGACUGACACUGACGCUGAGGUGCGAAAGCGUGGGUAGCAAACAGGAUUAGAUACCCCAGUAGUC